rnacentral:snRNA from 1 species
AUAUAAUGGGAAUAAGCGCAAAUUGUCACUAAAUAUCUGUUCUUAUCAGUUUAAUAUCUGAUGCGCCCUAUCUGGGGGCCAUAUAUUAAAUGUAUUUUUAGAACAGAGAGAUGGAAGAAGAGCUUGCUCUGUCCACUCCACGCAUUGACCUGGUAUUGCAGUACCUCCAGGACCGGUGCACCUCCU